GCAAGCGUGGCCGAGUGGUUAAGGCGCUACAUUUAGGCUGUAGUGGGCAACCGCGCGCGUUCGAUCGCGCCGCUUGCA
rnacentral:tRNA from 1 species